ACAUACAUAUGUAUGUACAGUCAUGGACAUAUCGGUUGAGACACUUUUUUUCAUAGGUUUUUGGGACGGUACAUAUCUCCAUCUUUAAUCUAGCGACGGUACAUCAAUCGUCGUUCGCAUUUGCAAAAUUUAAUGCGUUUCAAAACCUAUUUUUAAAAAAGUGUCGCAAUUGAUAUGUCCACGUCUGUACAUAUGUAUAAAGUAUCAAAACUAUGAAGUUGAUAAUCAUUUUUGUGAUGUUGACAUAUGGCAACCCCAUGGCAACUGUAUUUACCGGAGAAUCAAUAAACGUAAGUGACUGAUUACGUUUAUCUUAAAUUUAAUUGUAUUUAAAUAAAUUUAGUUACAUUUUUACCUUUAAUAAGAUUUCUAACAUUUUUUUUGGAUACUUUUGACUUUCGUUCUUGUAAGUAA